rnacentral:rRNA from 1 species
GACGAACGCUGGCGGCGUGCCUAAUACAUGCAAGUUGAGCGCUGAAGGUUGGUACUUGUACCAACUGGAUGAGCAGCGAACGGGUGAGUAACGCGUGGGGAAUCUGCCUUUGAGCGGGGGACAACAUUUGGAAACGAAUGCUAAUACCGCAUAAAAACUUUAAACACAAGUUUUAAGUUUGAAAGAUGCAAUUGCAUCACUCAAAGAUGAUCCCGCGUUGUAUUAGCUAGUUGGUGAGGUAAAGGCUCACCAAGGCGAUGAUACAUAGCCGACCUGAGAGGGUGAUCGGCCACAUUGGGACUGAGACACGGCCCAAACUCCUGCGGGAGGCAGCAGUAGGGAAUCUUCGGCAAUGGACGAAAGUCUGACCGAGCAACGCCGCGUGAGUGAAGAAGGUUUUCGGAUCGUAAAACUCGGUUGGUAGAGAAGAACGUUGGUGAGAGUGGAAAGCUCAUCAAGUGACGGUAACUACCCAGAAAGGGACGGCUAACUACGUG